GGGCCGGUAGCUCAGAGGUAGAGCAGGGGCCUUUUAAGCCCUUGGCCGUGGGUUCGAUCCCCACCCGGCUCACCA
rnacentral:tRNA from 1 species